rnacentral:tRNA from 1 species
UCCUUAGCGGCUCAGAUGGUAAAGAAUCUGCCUGCAAUGCAGGAGACCCAGGUUCGAUCCCUGGGUUGGGAA